rnacentral:rRNA from 1 species
GACGAACGCUGGCGGCGUGCUUAACACAUGCAAGUCGAACGGAAAGGCCCUGCUUUUGUGGGGUGCUCGAGUGGCGAACGGGUGAGUAACACGUGAGUAACCUUCCCUUGACUUUGGGAUAACUUCAGGAAACUGGGGCUAAUACCGGAUAGGAGCUCCUGCUGCAUGGUGGGGGUUGGAAAGUUUCGGCGGUUGGGGAUGGACUCGCGGUUUAUCAGCUUGUUGGUGGGGUAGUGGCUUACCAAGGCUUUGACGGGUAGCCGGCCUGAGAGGGUGACCGGCCACAUUGGGACUGAGAUACGGCCCAGACUCCUACGGGAGGCAGCAGUGGGGAAUAUUGCACAAUGGGCGGAAGCCUGAUGCAGCAACGCCGCGUGCGGGAUGACGGCCUUCGGGUUGUAAACCGCUUUCGCCUGUGACGAAGCGUGAGUGACGGUAAUGGGUAAAGAAGCACCGGCUAACUACGUG